CCGCCCGGUACGGAGACGGGACAUGUGUCGUCACUCAAUCACAGUCAUUCAUCCAUAGUCGCCUAAUCGGAGGGUUGUAGUUGUUAGGUGAUGUUUUAAUCAUGGUCGUUAACCUAAUCGUGUGGUUAUGGAGGACCAAGUGUGAUGUAACGACAACUGACAUGGGAGAUGACAGUUUCAGGCUAUGGUAUUGGGGCAAGCUGAGAAUUUAAUGGGUUUUAGAGGAGAGAGAGAGUCGGUUGCUCUUCCUUUAUUUAUUUUUUAUAGUAUUUAGCUUCUCUUGUUAAAUAAGAAAACCCAUUAAGCUUUUGGUAUCAUAUUUUAGAGAGAAAAAUUUGCCAUAAAAAAUAUCAUGUUCGUUGAAGAUCAAGGCGUGUGGCUUGGAGUCGUAAACCAUUUUCCUUAGAUCUCCACUAGGGUGGAUACGAUGAAACAAAAUCGUUGUGGAGCGAGGAAGAAGGUUGAGCCUUAGGGGAGAAAGGGUGAUGUUGUGGAUUUUAUAUGCAGAAGGAGCUCGCUAGGAAGUUGAAGUAUUCUAUGAAUAUUGCUUCCACAAAUAAGUCAACAAAGCGGAAGAAGGUGCCAACAUCCAAUUCAGAUGAGACAGAGGAAGAUGAGGAUGUUGAAGAGUGUAAUGAAGAAGAUGGUGCAUUAGAGGUUAAGUCUCGUGAGCAUGUGACUAGAUGCUCAUUCGAACGGGUUGCUCAAAUUGUGAGGACAUUGUCAGAUGAAUAGAAGUCUAAUGUAAUCAAAGCAGGUUUUGGAUCUAAUCUGCGGGAAGAUUUCCCAAGUAUAUACAGUUUGUUGGCUCAGUGGUUAGUGGAGUCAGUUGAUGUGAAAAGAAAUUGUCUGAAGAUUUACGACAAGACCUUCCCCAUCUAUGGGAGGGUUUUUCAGCGUGUCAUUGACACCCGAAUGGAAGUCAAAUGUUAAAUGAGAAAGCGAGUGUGCCAGAUUGUGAGAUUAAGAAUAUAAUACUUGUUGGCAAAAAAUUUGUGAACUUGUCUGCUUUAGAAACACAACUUCUAAAUUACGAGGAGGUCGACGAUUAUUUCUUGGCGAUUUUCAUUUUGGUCAUCUUGGGGAGCGUCUUUGUCCCUGGGUCGAGCAACCAGCUGUGCACCAGUUAUAUAAACUCAGUGCGCGAUCCGCAGAAAGUUUGUUCUUAUAACUAGGCCACCCAUAGCUUUAGAUGCCUUAUGCCAUCUAUCCAGAAGCACCAAGCAAGACGUUUGUUCACUUGAAUGGCUGCACAAAAUUCCUUCAUGUCAUUUCAACUCGUAUAAUAUACUUCAAUUUUUUUCUCAAUUUGAAUUGAUACUCAUUAACUAGGACUUUUGUAUUUUAGGUUAUUAAAAUUUACAGUACAUAUAUUUAUAGCACAUACAAGUUCCAAACAUUUAUGUUGACCACUCGGUUCCACUGAUCAUUGUUUGGAACGAUGGGGAGUGCAAGAAAGUUAAGACUUAUAUUUGUCAACACGAAGCUUAUAGCGGUUUAAAAAACACUCGCGCUGUCAAUGAGCUUAGUGUUGGUAAAGAACAUGGACGCUAUGGUCUUAGACUUGAUGGUGUGGAAGGUGGAUUGAUGAUGGAAAAUUUGAGGAUAUUGAGUUGUCAAAUGGAUGCCCUGAUCGCACUGGUUGUUGCACUACCUGAUAAGUUUAAGGUUUUGUUGGCCAAUGAGGUGAGUAAAUUAAAGGGAACGAAUGAGGUACCUGAAGAAUCUUAGAGCAUCGGGAGUGGAUAGGGAGGAUGGAGGAUGGAAUGAGGGAGAUGAGACUCAACUUAAUGAGCUUAUGAUUGACCUGACAAAGGUAUAGGGAAUUUGGGUGUUGUCGCCGAGUUUUAAAAAAAUGAACAAGUGGAGCCCAACCUUGGGGCACCGUAGCGUACGAGUUGUUUCAGAGAAGUGAGGGGCUUGUUGUGAGGCCUUUCAAACUAUUGCACUUUAUUUCACUUCAGUUGUACUAGCUAGCCGAUUUCAUGUACAACCAUGGCUUGGAAGACUUCUACUCUUAAAGUGAUUAUGACAUGCUAGUUGUGGAUCGUCAAUGCAUGUGAUCCUUGGAGCCCAAGGGAAAGGUUCUGAGGAGAG